rnacentral:rRNA from 1 species
AACGAACGCUGGCGGCAUGCCUAACACAUGCCAGUCGAACGAGACCUUCGGGUCUAGUGGCGCACGGGUGCGUAACGCGUGGGAACCUGCCCUUAGGUUCGGAAUAACUCCCCGAAAGGGGUGCUAAUGCCGGAUAAUGUCUUCGGACCAAAGAUUUAUCGCCUUUGGAUGGGCCCGCGUUGGAUUAGCUAGUUGGUAGGGUAAAAGCCUACCAAGGCGACGAUCCAUAGCUGGUCUGAGAGGAUGAUCAGCCACACUGGGACUGAGACACGGCCCAGACUCGUAGGGGAGGCAGCAGUAGGGAAUGUGCAGCAAUGGGCGAAAGCCGGACGGAGCAACGCGGCGGGAGUGAUGAAGGUCUUAGGAUCGUAAAACUAUGUUAUUAGGGAAGAAGAAAUGUGGAAGUAACUAUGCACGGCUUGACGGUACCUAAUCAGAAAGCCACGGCUAACUACGUG